GGCAGAGGGUGCUAGCGUUUCUCGGAAUCACUGGGCGUAAAGGGCGCGUAGGCGGGAUGGCAAGUCGGUCGUGAAAACCUCCGGCUCAACCGGAGAACGUCGGCCGAAACUGCCAUUCUUGAGGGAUGCAGAGGAGACUGGAAUUCCCGGUGUAGCGGUGAAAUGUGUAGAGAUCGGGAGGAACACCGGUGGCGAAGGCGGGUCUCUGGGCAUCUCCUGACGCUGAUGCGCGAAAGCGUGGGGAGCAAACGGG
rnacentral:rRNA from 1 species